GCCGACGUAGCUCAGUCGGUAGAGCGCGUCCUUGGUAAGGACGAGGUCACCGGUUCAAUCCCGGUCGUCGGCUCCA
rnacentral:tRNA from 1 species